rnacentral:lncRNA from 1 species
GUCCGUCAGUCCCUAGGUAUCCGCACUGCUCAGGGCAGCUGAUAGAACCAUGGCGACCAUUGCUGCUGCUGCGUUUGAGGCCCUCAUGGAUGGAGUGACAUGCUGGGAUGUCCCCAGAGGCCCCAUCCCCAGUGAACUCCUUCUUAUUGGAGAAGCCGCCUUCCCCGUGAUGGUGAAUGACAAGGGCCAGGUGCUCAUUGCUGCCUCCUCCUACGGCCGAGGCCGCCUCGUGGUUGUGUCCCAUGAGGGCUACCUGUCGCAUGCUGGCUUGGCUCCGUUUCUCCUCAAUGCAGUGAGCUGGCUCUGUCCCUGUCCUGGGGCUCCCGUGGGAGUGCAUCCAUCCCUGGCACCUCUAGUAAACAUCCUACAGGAUGCUGGGCUUGAGGCACAGGUCAAGCCAGAACCAGGAGAGCCCCUAGGGGUUUACUGUAUCAAUGCCUACAAUGACACCUUGACUGCAACGCUGAUCCAGUUUGUGAAACAUGGAGGGGGCUUGUUAAUCGGGGGCCAGGCCUGGUACUGGGCCAGCCAGCACGGCCCUGACAAGGUGCUCUCCAGGUUCCCUGGGAACAAGGUGACAAGUGUAGCCGGAGUGUACUUCACUGACACCUAUGGGGACAGAGACCGGUUCAAGGUCUCUAAGAAGGUGCCCAAGAUCCCACUCCAUGUCAGUUUUGUUGCUGUUGUUGAAGACACCAGCUACUCUUUGUUGAACAGUUUACUUCAGUCUGGACUUUGAAAGUAGACCUCAAGGAAGUCAGGGAAUGAGCCAUGUGUGCAUCUGUGGGAGGAGGAUUCCAGGCACAGUGAAGCGCAAUGGUGAAAACCUGGAAAGGCAAAUUGAUUGCCUUCCUGUGGUAUCAUUUAAUAUGGGGGUACCAGUCCAUGGCCUGUUAGGAACCAGAACACACAGCAGGAUGUGAGCAGCGGGUGAGCAAAUAAAGCUUCAUCUGUAUUUACA